CACACACACACACACGAGAUACUGAGGUACACACACACACACGAGAUACUGAGGUACACACACACACACAGGAGAUACUGAGGUACACACACACACACAGGAGAUACUGAGGUACACACACACACACACACACACACACAGGAGAUACUGAGGUACACACACACACACGAGAUACUGAGGUACACACACACACACGCACACACACACACAUGAGAUACUGAGGUACACACACACACACACACACACACACACACACACGAGAUACUGAGGUACACACACACACACACACACACACACAGUACACUGGAGAUACUGAGGUACACACACACACACACACACACACACACAGUACACUGGAGAUACUGAGGUACACACACACACACACACAGGAGAUACUGAGGUACACACACACACACACACACACACACAGGGGAUACUGAGGUACACACACACACACACACACACACACAGGAGAUACUGAGGUACACACACACACACACACACACACACAGGGGAUACUGAGGUACACACACACACACACACACACACACACAGGAGAUACUGAGGUACACACACACACACACACACACACAGGAGAUACUGAGGUACACACACACACACACACACACACACACACACACACAUACACAGUACACUGGAGAUACUGAGGUACACACACACCCACUGGAGAUACUGAGGUACACACACACACACACACACACACACACACACACACACACACACUCACUGUACACUGGAGAUACUGAGGUACACACACACCCACUGGAGAUACUGAGGUACACACACACACACACACACACACACACACACACACGCAGGAGAUACUGAGGUACACACACACACACACACACACACACACACACACACUGGAGAUACUGAGGUACACACACACACACACACACACUGGAGAUACUGAGGUACACACACACACACACACACACAGUACACUGGAGAUACUGAGGUACACACACACACUCACACACACACUCACUGUACACUGGAGAUACUGAGGUACACACACACCCACUGGAUAUACUGAGGUACACACACACACUGGAGAUACUGAGGUACACACACACACACACUGGAGAUACUGAGGUACACACACACACACACUGGAGAUACUGAGGUACACACACACACACACUGGAGAUACUGAGGUACACACACACCCACACACACACUGGAGAUACUGAGGUACACACACACCCACCGGAGAUACUGAGGUACACACACACACACACACACACACACACACACACACACACACACACACACAGGAGAUACUGAGGUACACACACACACACACACACACACACACAGGAGAUACUGAGGUACACACACACACACACACACACACACACACACACAGAUACUGAGGUACACACACACACCCACACACACACACACACACACACACUGGAGACACUGAGGUACUCUCACACGCACACACUCACACUGGAGAUACUGAGGUACACACACACGCACACACUCACACGCACACACCGGAGAUACUGCGGUAUGCACACACACACACGCACACUCUCUCUCACACACUCACACAGACACUCACACUGGAGAUUCUGAGGUACACACUCACACACACUCACACACACACAGUUUUCCUCUGUGGUGAUUGUAAUUGUAGUGAUGUGAUAUUGUCAUUGUUGUGUGUGUGAGAUGAGAGUAAAUGUUGUGUAUAUAAAGAUUUUGUGUAGUUGAUGUUUUCAGAGCUAAAACUGAGUGUGUUAAGUGUGAGAAGGUUUUCUUUCUUGCAGGAUGUGGAACUGCAGUAUUACAGAUGAAGGCUGUGCUGCUCUGGCUUCUGCUCCGAGGUCAAACUCCUCAUCACACCUGAGAGAACUGAAUCUGAAUGGUAAUAAUCCAGGAGAAUCAGGAGAGAAGCUGCUCUCUGAUCUACUGAAGGAUCCACACUGUAACCUGGAGACACUACACAUUAACUAUAAUAAACUCACCAGGACUGGCGUAUGACAGGAGUCUCACCUCAAACCUCUUCUCCAGGAUAAAGCAGUCUUGGUGAAGAGUUAGAACCCGUCCCACAUUUCCAGCAGUUUGGGAGCUGUAUCAUUGAACUUAAAGGGGCAGAGCAGAAACAAAGUCAAGAACAGGCAGAAGGUCAUACACAGGAGAAAUCAACACACGUAACCAAAUAUCUGCUGUACAAAGCAACGGCACCGAUCUGCCCCGGGGAUGGAGACUGACGAGGCUUAAGUACACGUCCGGAAAUGUACAGCCAACUCAUCCCAAAGCACGAGGCGGGAGCAGGCACGUACAAGAUGUGAUCGUCCAAUGGCAAGCCGGAACAUGAUGCAUUGCAGUGGACUGGGCUUAAAAGAGGAGGAGACAAGACACCCAUCCCUCCCCUGACAUAGACACACAAAUGGAACAUAGUACAAAUAGAAAUAAAACUGAGGACAUAACAAUGGUCAAGUAUCAAAUAUAAUGUAAACUUGCAUCGAUGAAGUUAAUGUUGUUAGUAAUUGUUCAUAAAUUACCAUGGUAACACAGAGCUCCAAGGUAUAAAAAUAUGGAGUUUGUCAUCAACCAAACAGUAACCAGUUUUAAUACCUAUAAAAGUUUACGUAGUAAAAUUUAGCAAAGCGCUUUACAGUAAAUUCAAAUGUAAAAUUAAACUAAUGAAAUGUUGUGCAGCACAUGCUUAUGUUAAUUUUUGUUACAUUAUAUGAUCAUAUAAAUAAAUAAAUACUCCCAAAGUCA